rnacentral:rRNA from 1 species
AGAGCGAACGCUGGCGGCAGGCCUAACACAUGCAAGUCGAACGGACCCUUCGGGGUUAGUGGCGGACGGGUGAGUAACACGUGGGAACGUGCCUUUUGGUUCGGAAUAGCUCCUGGAAACGGGUGGUAAUGCCGAAUGUGCCCUUCGGGGGAAAGAUUUAUCGCCAUUAGAGCGGCCCGCGUCUGAUUAGCUAGUUGGUAAGGUAAUGGCUUACCAAGGCGACGAUCAGUAGCUGGUCUGAGAGGAUGACCAGCCACAUUGGGACUGAGACACGGCCCAAACUCCUACGGGAGGCAGCAGUGGGGAAUCUUGCGCAAUGGGCGAAAGCCUGACGCAGCCAUGCCGCGUGAAUGAUGAGGGUCUUAGGAUUGUAAAAUCUUUCACCGGGACGAUAAUGACGGUACCGGAGAAGAAGCCCGCUAACUCGUGCCAGCAGCCGC